ACCUGUCAAACAAGAAGAAGACAAAGCGCACGGCCCCGCUAACAGGAGCUUCAAAGAAGACAGAGAAAGCCAGAGUCUCAGGUCAGCUGCGACCUGAAGAAGAAGUGAAAAUGGCUUUCAACAGGAUGUGGCCCUCCUAAAUGGGGUUUAGAGAAGUCGAACGCUGCUCUCAUGCCUUGAAACAAGACCCUCUCGUGCAAAAGCCAAAGACUCUUCCUCAGUGGCUGUGUAUCCACCCACUGUCCUCUCCCAUGGCCCUGACUCACCAUGUCCAGCAGCCUCCACUUCCCAGCGAUGGGGCGUUCUGUUCACCAAGAGGAAGCUCUGCAUGUAUUUAUAGACAUUUCUCGUAUGAGAAGUCUGAACAAUAACAAACCCCCACAGCCACUUCACCACCACAACACAAAAUAAGGUGUGGGGGGAGGAGAGGAGUGCAGAUAGAAUCAAACUUUAGUUUCACUGUUCGAUGAUGACAGGAAAAUAAAACUGAGAGCACUGCACUAUAGUUACAGUUUACAAGGUGGUUUUGACAGCUAACAUAGAAUUGGGUCAUUUCAGUG